rnacentral:tRNA from 1 species
UUUAAACCCUAAAUAUGAUUUAGUUUCUUAUAUUA